rnacentral:rRNA from 1 species
GACGAACGCUGGCGGCGUGCUUAACACAUGCAAGUCGAACGGUGAAGGGAUCAGCUUGCUGGUUCUGGAUGAGUGGCGAACGGGUGAGUAACACGUGAGUAACCUGCCCCCUUCUUCUGGAUAACCGCAUGAAAGUGUGGCUAAUACGGGAUAUUCUGCGCCUGCUGCAUGGUGGGUGUGGGAAAGAUAUUGUUUCGGUGGGGGAUGGGCUCGCGGCCUAUCAGCUUGUUGGUGGGGUGAUGGCCUACCAAGGCGGUGACGGGUAGCCGGCCUGAGAGGGUGGACGGUCACACUGGGACUGAGACACGGCCCAGACUCCUACGGGAGGCAGCAGUGGGGAAUAUUGCACAAUGGGCGCAAGCCUGAUGCAGCGACGCCGCGUGAGGGAUGGAGGCCUUCGGGUUGUGAACCUCUUUCGCAAGUGAAGCAGGCCUGUCCCUUGUGGGUGGGUUGACGGUAGCUGGAGAAGAAGCGCCGGCUAACUACGUG